rnacentral:lncRNA from 1 species
GGAAGUCCCGCCUUCCUUUCCUCUGUGAACUGUCCCAAAGGAACCGUCGGCUCUCUGCUGUGAUGCCCGUUUUCCGCUCCCCCCGGGACUGGGCCACAGGAAGGUUCAGUGGAUGGAGUUGCCUACCCCUCAGAAAGUCCAAGAGCCCCCAAAGAGCUUUGAAGAAUUCUUAAAGUCUCAGAACUGGACUAUAUGAAAUCGUCGACAGCAUGGAGUCAAAGUUAAAGGAAUGUUCACAUCUUUUGCAACAGCAUGCCUCCAGAUUAUUUGAAAGUGACAGACUGAUCUCCAAGAAAAGGACAUAUACAAACCUGGACCGCUACAAGGCAUUUCUAAAAGAACACUAUAGGCGAAAGAAGAUAGUGCUUUCAGAUCAAAUGGAGACAGAGAAGAAUAUAGAGGGUUGCACCUUUUUACUCAAACAAAAUGAGCUGACACAAUUACCCAGACAUUUGGAUGCUAAACAGAUUUAUCUUUAUGUUUUAAGAACCCAUAACCUUGAGGAAAAGGUAUUUAAAGUCUGGAAAACCCACAUUCUCUCAGACUGCUCCAUUGCUCUUUUGCAUGACUGCUUUUGGUGGUGGUUUCUGCAUAAAUUCAAGCCUGACAAAAGAGAUCAAGAUUGGUUAUUUGACAGAAUCGCAGAAAGUUAUGUCACUCUUUUCAUGAGAAUACCUCUAAGGAGAAAGGAUAUAUUCUUUCAGAUGUAUCCCGACUGGUUGGCUCAAGCUGUCUACACA